GGCAGGAUGAUCACAAGUUUCAGGCCAGCCUGGGUAACUUAGUGAGACCUCGUCUCAAAAUAAAAAAAUAUGAUGAAGUACUAGAAUGCAGCUCAGUGUUGGAGCACUUCCCUAACAUUCAUUAGGUCCUCGGUUCAAUUCCCAGUACCAUGAAAAAAAGUAGCCAGCACCUUCACCCAUACAUUGUGGCACUCAGGGUGGGUGAGGAUGGAACAUAACGUCGCUGCUCAGAGCAACAGUCUACCCUGUGUUAUGGAAAGGACAGCUUUGCAGCAGAGGGACAUGUGCCCUGGCAAAGGUGUAUGCCGAAUGUCUCAUCAGAAAGCCAGAUGAGGGAAG
rnacentral:lncRNA from 1 species